AUUUAUAUAGUUUAUUUAAAACAUUACAUUUUCAUUGUAAAAAAAAAAUUUUUUUUUAUAAAUA
rnacentral:tRNA from 1 species